GAUGAAUGCUGGCGGCGUGCCUAACACAUGCAAGUCGAGCGGUAACAGGGGUAGUUUACUACCUGCUGACGAGCGGCGGACGGCUGAGUAACGCGUGGGAACGUGCCCCAAAGUGAGGAAUAACUGCCCGAAAGGGUGGCUAAUGCCGCAUAUGAUCUUCGGAUUAAAGGAUUUAUCCGCUUUGGGAGCGGCCCGCGUUAGAUUAGGUAGUUGGUAGGGUAAUGGCCUACCAAGCCGACGAUCUAUAGCUGGUCUGAGAGGAUGAUCAGCCAGACUGGGACUGAGACACGGCCCAGACUCCUACGGGAGGCAGCAGUGAGGAAUCUUCCACAAUGGGCGAAAGCCUGAUGGAGCAACGCCGCGUGAAGGAUGAAGGCCCUCGGGUUGUAAACUUCUUUUAUAAGUGAAGAAUAUGACGGUAACUUAUGAAUAAGCACCGGCUAACUACGUGCCAGCAGCCGCGGUAAGAC
rnacentral:rRNA from 1 species